rnacentral:lncRNA from 13 species
AUGUUAUGUCAGUAUUUCUUUCGUAUUUCCAACAUCACACCAAAGGUGAGUCUUAAUGCUUUGUUUCAGCUGUUUUUUUUUUUUUUUCCCCUUAGGCAGAGAACAAAGAUUGGUGGCUUCCUCCUGAGCACUCUGGGAUGUGACAUUACUUUGGGGGCUGCUGAGUGCCCUUACCUACAGCUACCCAGAUGCAGAGGCAGGAAGCCGCACGCCAUUUGGAUUAUUGCACUUCUCAAAGUACAUGGAAAGACUUGGGACCAUCCAGAGAAGAAUGUUACAAACAAAAGGGCAGAAUGCAUGAUGGCAAAGAUGCCCCAUGAGGAAAGGCUGAAGAAUCAGGACUAGUGGAGCUAAAGAGAAAAACUCAAGUGAUAAAACAUUAUUGUUUUCAAAAAUGUCCCAGGUUUUUGGCUAGAAGAUGUCACUCAUACGUUUCCCGAACACAUGGCGGCCCCUGGAAGACAAAAGUAAAGAUGGAAACCAGACCAGUAAAGAAGUCCUUUGAUGGCCUUCCGAGGCAACGCUCCCUCACAGUUGCGGGCAGCGUCUCAUCUUUGUCACUUCUGGCGUGAUGCUGCACACCCACAGCCAGUGCAUCAUCUCUGCCUGUGCCCGUGUCUUGCCUUCUUUCUCUCCUCACCUCGACCAGCUUGGCCAGCUCGUUGGUCACUGGGGUUGCACUCACCAUGCACGUACCUGGCUCCCACAACCUCAGAAGUUCUCAGUACAAUGCAGGACUGGAGAUUGAAACCAAUGAAAGGUUGUUAAAUAAAUGAACAAUUUAAAGAGGAAAUAUUUAAUGC